rnacentral:rRNA from 1 species
AGCGAACGCUGGCGGCAGGCUUAACACAUGCAAGUCGAGCGGGCACUUCGGUGUCAGCGGCGGACGGGUGAGUAACGCGUGGGAACGUGCCUUCUGGUUCGGAAUAACUCAGGGAAACUUGAGCUAAUACCGGAUACGCCCUUUUGGGGAAAGGUUUACUGCCGGAAGAUCGGCCCGCGUCUGAUUAGCUAGUUGGUGGGGUAAUGGCCUACCAAGGCGACGAUCAGUAGCUGGUCUGAGAGGAUGAUCAGCCACACUGGGACUGAGACACGGCCCAGACUCCUACGGGAGGCAGCAGUGGGGAAUAUUGGACAAUGGGCGCAAGCCUGAUCCAGCCAUGCCCGCGUGAGUGAUGAAGGC